UACGUAGGGUGCAAGCGUUGUCCGGAAUUAUUGGGCGUAAAGAGCUCGUAGGCGGUCUGUCGCGUCCGCUGUGAAAUCCCGGAGCUCAACUCCGGGUCUGCAGUCGAUACGGGCAGACUGGAGUUCGGCAGGGGAGACUGGAAUUCCUGGUGUAGCGGUGAAAUGCGCAGAUAUCAGGAGGAACACCGGUGGCGAAGGCGGGUCUCUGGGCCGAUACUGACGCUGAGGAGCGAAAGCGUGGGGAGCAAACAGG
rnacentral:rRNA from 1 species